AUGCAUGUUUGCUCACAUUCAGAGCAGCACAGGAAACACAUGGAUUCUCCGACCAUCAACGAGACCUCUUCAUUUCCUCGGAUCGAGCAGGAAAGAGGCAGCGACAAAUAUGAGAUUCUUCUUCGUGUGAAGUCCCUCCGAACGAGAAGAGGAUUACUUCUGAGGUGUCAAACAUGCAGAGCAGCAUGGAUUCAUAACUGCUCCUCCCCAGCAGCACAAGCAAAACCCAGAGGGGGUGUGGGUUGUGCAGAAGCCUGCAGCUGUUUGUGAGGAGAAAGAGAAACCCAUCAGCCAACCAGCGCCUACUUAUCUGGAGAUGAGGAUCAGAAAUAGCAGGGGUCAAGAGGAGGAGGAAGAUUGUAGAAAAGCUCCAACAACAACAGAAGAAGUCGUUAGUGAGGACCAACCCACUGCGUGUCGAGUCCUGCCCUCCUGAGUUCCCACAUCACUCCACAGCCGUGCUGCUCGCUCAGCUCCUCACAUCUCCUCUCCUCUCCUCGGACCUCCUGCUUGCUCCAGGACACGUUUGCUCAGGUGGGUGAAACGUUUCCAACAGUUGUGUUUUUCUUCAGAGCUUCGGUGUCUGGUGUGGUUGAGGUUUUUAAGUAGAAAAGGGGAAUUUUGUCUUCUUCGUCUCGUGUUUCUCUAUGAAUCAGCGCCUCUUUCUGACCUCAUCCUGCUGCCUGUUUGGGCCGGUGGUCUCUACUGUAUGUUACCCAUUUUAGACAGAACCAGUGAUGAGUAAAACAAAUAAGCAGCAGACACGAUCUGUUGUUUAUUUGACUUGGCAGGUUUGAGGUGACCCUUGCGCACAAGAUACGCCUGAAAUAUUUUAUUACCACGCUGCUAAAUAACAAUUAGAGGAAAGGAACAAUACCACGAUCAAAGGUGAAUUAGGACUUCAGUGAAGAGCAAGAAAAUCCAACGUCAUUUGGGAAUGUUUGAAUAAAAACACACGUGGCUUCAGAUUAAUGCAAAUUACAAACUUUUAGUUGUUUUUAUGGGAAUAAAUAAGUUCCACUCUAAUCUAUUUGUCUGAUUAUUUAUCUAAUUGAGAGGAAAUAGUGAUUUUUCCACUUUCGAACCUUGUCGUGUGAUUUAUGUUGUUAGAUGUUUUGAAGGCUUCUCCGGUUCUCCACGUUAACCGCCCUCGUCUCCUGUGUCGCAGGCUUGCUGCUGUUGCCUACCAGUGUGCAUCUCGGGUACUGAGAGGAGAAAAGGGGAGCCUUUAAGAAGGAAACAUCUGAAACCACAAGAAAGCUUUUCUGAUAGCAUCAAAAGGAACAUUUUCCCCCGGCGGACAGACCCGACCAAGCGACGGAUGGAAAAAUGAACCGCCACAGGAUUCUCUGACAUCUGCUUUCGUGGAUCUGACUUUAAAAAUCAGAAGAAGUUGAAAACAAGCGCCGGCUCCUU
rnacentral:lncRNA from 1 species